UGGGGAAUAUUGGGCAAUGGGGGAAACCCUGACCCAGCAACGCCGCGUGAGGGAAGAAGGUCUUCGGAUUGUAAACCUCUGUCCUUGGGGACGAAACAAAUGACGGUACCCAAGGAGGAAGCCCCGGCUAACUACGUGCCAGCAGCCGCGGUAAUACGUAGGGGGCGAGCGUUGUCCGGAAUUACUGGGCGUAAAGGGAGCGUAGGCGGCCUUUUAAGUCAGGUGUGAAAUACCCGUGCUUAACAUGGGGGGUGCAUCUGAUACUGGAAGGCUUGAGUGUAGGAGAGGUAAGCGGAAUUCCUAGUGUAGCGGUGAAAUGCGUAGAUAUUAGGAGGAACACCGGUGGCGAAGGCGGCUUACUGGACUAUAACUGACGCUGAGGCUCGAAAGCGUGGGGAGCAAACA
rnacentral:rRNA from 1 species